GCCCCCAUAGCUCAAUGGAUCAGAGCAGACCCGUCCUAAGGGUAAGAUAUGGGUUCGACUCCUGUUGGGGGCA
rnacentral:tRNA from 3 species